ensembl:lncRNA
UGAUCUACCUUUUUUUGUUGCUGAAGAAGAUUCGCCCUGAGCUAACACCUGUGCCAAUCUUCCUGUUUGUAUGUGGGUUGCCACCACAGCAUGGCCACUGAUGAGUGGUGUCGGUCUGUGCCCAGGAACUGAACCCAGGCCACUGAAGAUAAGUGCUCUGAACUUUACCACUGGGCCAUGGGUCCAGCCCCUACCAUAUUUUUUUAAGAUAAUAAUUUUGUGUAUGGGAUUAGAAGAACAUCAGAGUGAAGAAUAAAUGAACUAUACCAUGAGUUCCACAUUAUCAAAGAAUUACCAUUGGAAGAAAUUCAAAAUAUCACUGUUUAAUAUCUUAUCUGUUUCACCAAUACCCUUCUAAGUGGUCUCAGCUUUCCCUUGAACAUCUGCAAGGGAAGGGAACUAACUCAUUACCUUCUAGAAUGGCCUAUGCUAUCUUUAACUGAAUUUAUCAGAAUACUUUGUCAACAUCUCUUACCUUGAGAUUUCUAUCCAUGGUGCAAUUGUAUUUCUCAUGACCACAAAUGUGUCUAUUCUGUGCACAUGAAAAACUUUUCCAGUAGAAGAAAUUUAUAAUUUCUCAUCUAUACAGGUUAAAUACUGCUACUUUUCAACUGUUUCUCAAUGUGAUGCCAAGGACUGUCACUAUUAUUGUUUCUUUCCUUUUCCACACAGUAAAGUAUAUCUAUAUUUAUAAAGCUCCAAUUUACAUAAAUAAUACAACACAUUUUUUACAGGGUUUAUUUCCUGGUCUACCUUAUAUAUUGAUGUUUCUUAAUAAAGUAAAUUAUUACUUAACAUAGAUUAUAUCCACAAAGGGAAUAAUACAACAUGUUUAGUGACUAACUCAAUGAAAACUAUGCAUAUUUUACAUAAAAUGGUAAUAAGUUUUUGAAUAUACAGAAUGAGUGCAGAAGCUUUUAUUAUAGAUAAGAACUAAUAAUUAUAAAGAGUUCAAUUUUCCCAAAUUAUUUAGUAGAACUAAUGUAAUUUCACUAUCAUGAUUUUUCUUAGAACUGUAUAAUGAGACAAUAGAUAUCACCUGGAAACAAAAAGGUCAAGGACUGAGAAAAAUACAUCCUUCAGAUCAAUGGCUGAAAACCAAGUGUCAGAGACUGUCUUGACCUGUUCCAGUAAGGAUCGCCAGCUGGUACAGCUGCAAUGCAUCCUAUCAUUUGCUGGCAAGCACAACCUGGCAAUGAAGUAAAACUGCCCAGCGGGCCACAAACUGCUGAAUGCAUCCAUGCUACAAUGAACAGCACGUUCCAGAGAGAUCCACAGCAGCGCAGAAGAAAAAAAUAUGAAAGAAACAAAAAAGCAAAGAACGCAGAAUCACUUAGAGGAGAGAGUAAUCCUCUAGGCCACCAGACUUCCAUAUUUAUCUUCCCUACAUUGAAAAGCAUGGUCUUCUCUCCCCUAGGAUCCCUGACUAUUCUGAUUCUACUACCAUGCUUUAAGAUGCCAUUCCCGACAGUCCCCAUCAGACGUUAUCCUCACAAGAAGAAUCACAUGUGUCCUCAUGAUGGGACAAGUCUCCAAAAUCUUUGAAGUUUCUGC